GUGCAGACAGUUUUAGUACAGGGCUUCAGCAGGAGAACUCUAGCAUAAAAUUAGCUUCCAAGAGUAAGAAGGGAUACUCUUUCUUUUUGCUGUCUUCAUAACAGCUCUUAUAAGUGAGGGAACUGACCUUAGACUCAGCCAGCUGUACUUGCCUUACCCAGUGACUCUUGAAAAUAAUGAAAUGAAAUCCUACAGAAGACAGUAAACAACAUUAAUAACAAACAUUUUCUGAUAAACAUGAGGCUCAUUUCCAGCUACUGUGAAGAAAGAAAAAACAGAAACUAGUACCAGAAAACAAAAAGUCAGCUGAAUAUACCAAGGUCCAGUGGACUACACAAGCCUCUGAAGG
rnacentral:lncRNA from 1 species